rnacentral:rRNA from 1 species
CGUGUAGGUGGUUAGAUAAGUCAGAUGUGAAAGCUUCCGGCUUAACCGGAAAACUGCAUUUGAAACUGUUUAGCUUGAGUGCGAGAGAGGGUAGCGGAAUUCCCAGUGUAGCGGUGAAAUGCGUAGAUAUUGGGAAGAACACCAGUAGCGAAGGCGGCUACCUGGCUCGCAACUGACGCUAAUGCGCGAAAGCGUGGGGAGCAAACA